UACGUAGGGGGCAAGCGUUGUCCGGAAUCAUUGGGCGUAAAGAGCGUGUAGGCGGCCCGAUAAGUCCGCUGUGAAAGUCCAGGGCUCAACCCUGGAAUGCCGGUGGAUACUGUCGGGCUCGAAUCCGGAAGAGGUGAGUGGAAUUCCUGGUGUAGCGGUGAAAUGCGCAGAUAUCAGGAGGAACACCGGUGGCGAAGGCGGGUUCUCUGGGCAUUACCUGACGCUGAGGAGC
rnacentral:rRNA from 1 species